AUUGAACGCUGGCGGCAUGCCUUACACAUGCAAGUCGAACGGUAACGCGGGGCAACCUGGCGACGAGUGGCGAACGGGUGAGUAAUGCAUCGGAACGUGCCCAGAAGUGGGGGAUAGCCCGGCGAAAGCCGGAUUAAUACCGCAUGAGACCUGAUGGUGAAAGCGGGGGAUCGCAAGACCUCUCGCUUUUUUAGCGGCCGAUGUCAGAUUAGCUAGUUGGUGGGGUAAAGGCCUACCAAGGCGACGAUCUGUAGCUGGUCUGAGAGGACGACCAGCCACACUGGGACUGAGACACGGCCCAGACUCCUACGGGAGGCAGCAGUGGGGAAUUUUGGACAAUGGGCGCAAGCCUGAUCCAGCCAUGCCGCGUGCGGGAAGAAGGACUUCGGGUUGUAAACCGCUUUUGUCAGGGAAGAAACGAUCUGGGCUAAUACCCUGGGGUAAUGACGGUACCUGAAGAAUAAGCACCGGCUAACUACGUG
rnacentral:rRNA from 1 species